rnacentral:rRNA from 1 species
CUUAGGGAGGAGCUUGCGUCACAUUAGUUAGUUGGUGGGGUAAAGGCUUACCAAGACUAUGAUGUGUAGCCGGGCUGAGAGGUUGAACGGCCACAUUGGGACUGAGACACGGCCCAAACUCCUACGGGAGGCAGCAGUAGGGAAUUUUCGGCAAUGGAGGAAACUCUGACCGAGCAACGCCGCGUGAACGAUGAAGUAUUUCGGUACGUAAAGUUCUUUUAUUAGGGAAGAAUAAAUGAUGGAAAAAUCAUUCUGACGGUACCUAAUGAAUAAGCCCCGGCUAACUAUGUGCCAGCAGCCGCGGUAAUACAUAGGGGGCAAGCGUUAUCCGGAAUUAUUGGGCGUAAAGGGUGCGUAGGCGGUUAAAUAAGUUUAUGGUCUAAGUGCAAUGCUUAACAUUGUGAUGCUAUAAAAACUGUUUAGCUAGAGUAAGAUAGAGGCAAGUGGAAUUCCAUGUGUAGUGGUAAAAUGCGUAAAUAUAUGGAGGAACACCAGUAGCGAAGGCGGCUUGCUGGGUCUUUACUGACGCUGAGGCACGAAAGCGUGGGGAGCAAACAGGAUUAGAUACCCUGGUAGUCCACGCCGUAAACGAUGAGUACUAAAUGUUGGGUAAAACCAGUGUUGAAGUUAACACAUUAAGUACUCCGCCUGAGUAGUACGUACGCAAGUAUGAAACUUAAAGGAAUUGACGGGACUCCGCACAAGCGGUGGAUCAUGUUGUUUAAUUCGAAGGUACCCGAAAAACCUCACCAGGUCUUGACAUGCUUCUGCAAAGCUGUAGAAACACAGUGGAGGUUAUCAGUUGCACAGGUGGUGCAUGGUUGUCGUCAGCUCGUGUCGUGAGAUGUUGGGUUAAGUCCCGCAACGAGCGCAACCCUUAUUGUUAGUUGCCAGCACGUAAUGGNGGGGACUUUAGCAAGACUGCCAGUGAU